rnacentral:rRNA from 1 species
GCGCACCAGGCGCGAAACCUCCGCAAUGCGGGAAACCGCGACGGGGGACCCCGGAGUGCCGUGGCAACGCCACGGCUUUUCCGGAGUGUAAAAAGCUCCGGGAAUAAGGGCUGGGCAGGGCCGGUGGCAGCCGCCGCGGUAAUACCGGCGGCCCGAGUGGUGGCCGCUAUUAUUGGGCCGUAAAGCGUCCGUAGCCGGGCCCGUAAGUCCCUGGCGAAAUCCCACGGCUCAACCGUGGGGCUUGCUGGGGAUACUGCGGGUCUUGGGACCGGGAGAGGCGGGGGGUACCCCUGGGGUAGGGGUGAAGUCCUAUAAUCCCAGGGGGACCGCCAGUGGCGAAGGCGCCCCGCUGGAACGGGUCCGACGGUGAGGGACGAAGGCCC